rnacentral:rRNA from 1 species
UACAGAGGGGGCAAGCGUUGUUCGGAAUUACUGGGCGUAAAGGGCGCGUAGGCGGCCUGCUAAGUCGAACGUGAAAUCCCCGGGCUCAACCCGGGAACUGCGCCCGAUACUGGCAGGCUUGAAUCCGGGAGAGGGCUGCGGAAUUCCAGGUGUAGCGGUGAAAUGCGUAGAUAUCUGGAGGAACACCGGUGGCGAAGGCGGCAUCCUGGACCGGCAUUGACGCUGAGGCGCGAAAGCCAGGGGAGCAAACGGG